GUAAAGAGCUCGUAGGUGGUUUGUCGCGUUGUUCGUGAAAUCUCACGGCUUAACUGUGAGCGUGCGGGCGAUGCGGGCAGACUUGAGUACUGCAGGGGAGACUGGAAUUCCUGGUGUAGCGGUGGAAUGCGCAGAUAUCAGGAGGAACACCGGUGGCGAAGGCGGGUCUCUGGGCAGUAACUGACGCUGAGGAGCGAAAGCGUGGGGAGCGAACAGGAUUAGAUACCCUGGUAGUCCACGCCGUAAACGGUGGGUACUAGGUGUGGGUUUCCUUCCUUGGGAUCCGUGCCGUAGCUAACGCAUUAAGUACCGCGCCUGGGGAGUACGGCCGCAAGGCUAAAACUCAAAGAAAUUGACGGGGGCCCGCAGAAGCGGCGGAGCAUGUGGAUUAAUUCGAUGCAACGCGAAGAACCUUACCUGGGUUUGACACUGCACAGGACGCCGGCAGAGAUGUCGGUUCCCUUGUGGCCUGUGUGCAGGUGGUGCAUGGCUGUCGUCAGCUCGUGUCGUGAGAUGUUGGGUUAAGUCCCGCAACGAGCGCAACCCUUGUCUCAUGUUGCCAGCGGGUAAUGCCGGGGACUCGUGAGAGACUGCCGGGGUCAACUCGGAGGAAGGUGGGGAUGACGUCAAGUCAUCAUGCCCCUUAUGUCCAGGGCUUCACACAUGCUACAAUGGCCGGUACAAAGGGCUGCGAUGCCGCGAGGUUAAGCGAAUCCUUUUAGAGCCGGUCUCAGUUCGGAUCGGGGUCUGCAACUCGACCCCGUGAAGUCGGAGUCGCUAGUAAUCGCAGAUCAGCAAC
rnacentral:rRNA from 1 species